rnacentral:rRNA from 1 species
GACGAACGCUGGCGGCGUGCUUAACACAUGCAAGUCGAACGGGUCUGCCCUGUUUUUUGCGGGGUGGGUCAGUGGCGAACGGGUGAGUAACACGUGAGUAACCUGCCCCUCACUUCUGGAUAACCGCUUGAAAGGGUGGCUAAUACGGGGUGUUCUGGCUGUGCCGCAUGGUGUGGCUGGGAAAGAUUCACUUUUGUGGUGUUUUGGUGGGGGAUGGGCUCGCGGCCUAUCAGCUUGUUGGUGGGGUGAUGGCCUGCCAAGGCUUUGACGGGUAGCCGGCCUGAGAGGGUGGGCGGUCACACUGGGACUGGGAUACGGCCCAGACUCCUGCGGGAGGCAGCAGUGGGGGGUAUUGCACAAUGGGCGGAAGCCUGAUGCAGCGACGUUGCGUGAGGGAUGGAGGCCUUCGGGUUGUGAACCUCUUUCGCCGGUGAAGAAGGUCCUGCUCUUUGUGGUGGGGUUGACGGUAGCCGGGUUAUGAAGCGCCGGCUAACUACGUG